CCUACGGGUGGCUGCAGUGGGGAAUAUUGGGCAAUGGGCGCAAGCCUGACCCAGCAACGCCGCGUGAAGGAAGAAGGCAUUCGGGUUGUAAACUUCUUUUGUCAGGGAAGAGUAGAAGACGGUACCUGACGAAUAAGCCACGGCUAACUACGUGCCAGCGGCCGCGGUAAUACGUAGGUGGCAAGUGGUGUCCGGAUUUACUGGGGGUAAAGGACGUGUAGCCUGGUUGACAAGUCAGGUGUGAAAUCCUGCGGCUUAACCGCAGAACUGCAUUUGAAACUGUUGAUCUUGAGUACUGGAGAGGCAGGCGGAAUGACUGGUGUAGCGGUGAAAUGCGUAGAUAUUAGGAGGAACACCAGUGGCGAAGGCGGUCUGCUGGACAGAAACUGACGGUGAGGCGCGAAAGCGUGGGGAGCAAACAGGAUUAGAUACCCGUGUAGUC
rnacentral:rRNA from 1 species